UACGUAGGGUGCGAGCGUUGUCCGGAAUUACUGGGCGUAAAGAGCUCGUAGGUGGUUUGUCGCGUCGUCUGUGAAAUUCCGGGGCUUAACCUCGGGCGUGCAGGCGAUACGGGCAAUACUUGAGUGCUGUAGGGGAGACUGGAAUUCCUGGUGUAGCGGUGAAAUGCGCAGAUAUCAGGAGGAACACCGAUGGCGAAGGCAGGUCUCUGGGCAGUUACUGACGCUGAGGAGCGAAAGCAUGGGUAGCGAACAGGAUUAGAUA
rnacentral:rRNA from 1 species